rnacentral:misc_RNA from 1 species
GUCUCCGUUGGUGAACCAGCGGAGGGAUCAUGACCGAGUUUACAACUCCCAAACCCCUAUGUGAACGUUACCAAACUGUUGCCUCGGCGGGAAAUUCAUGCCCCGGGCGCGUCGCAGCCCCGGACCAAGGCGCCCGCCGGAGGACCAACAAAAACUCUUUUGUAUGUCCCUCGCGGACUUUUAUAAUUCUGUACCAUCUCGGCGCCCCUAGCGGGCGUUUCGAAAAUGAAUCAAAACUUUCAACAACGGAUCUCUUGGUUCUG